CCUACGGGUGGCUGCAGUGGGGAAUAUUGGACAAUGGGGGGAACCCUGAUCCAGCCAUGCCGCGUGUGUGAAGAAGGCCCUCGGGUUGUAAAGCACUUUCAGUGAGGAAGAACGCCUGGUGGUUAAUACCCAUCAGGAAAGACAUCACUCACAGAAGAAGCACCGGCUAACUCCGUGCCAGCAGCCGCGGUAAUACGGAGGGUGCGAGCGUUAAUCGGAAUUACUGGGCGUAAAGCGCGCGUAGGUGGCUUGAUAAGCCGGUUGUGAAAGCCCCGGGCUCAACCUGGGAACGGCAUCCGGAACUGUCAAGCUAGAGUGCAGGAGAGGAAGGUAGAAUUCCCGGUGUAGCGGUGAAAUGCGUAGAGAUCGGGAGGAAUACCAGUGGCGAAGGUGGCCUUCUGGACUGACACUGACACUGAGGUGCGAAAGCGUGGGUAGCAAACAGGAUUAGAUACCCCUGUAGUC
rnacentral:rRNA from 1 species